GCAAAGGACUUCCUAGCGGGUGUGAAAGGCAGCGGUGGCCACAGAGGCGGUGGAGAGAUGGCCUUCAGCGGUUCCCAGGCUCCCUACCUGAGCCCAGCCGUCCCCUUUUCUGGGACUAUUCAAGGAGGUCUCCAGGACGGACUUCAGAUCACUGUCAAUGGGACCGUUCUCAGCUCCAGUGGAACCAGGUUUGCUGUGGACUUUCAGACUGGCUUCAGUGGAAAGGACAUUGCCUUCCACUUCAACCCACGGUUUGAAGACAGAGGGUACGUGGUAUGCAACACGAGGCAGAAUGGAAGCUGGGGGCCCGAGGAGAGGAAGACGCACAUGCCCUUCCAGAAAGGGAUGCCCUUUGACCUCUGCUUCCUGGUGCAGAGCUCAGAUUUCAAGGUGCAUCUGCUGCUUCUUUUACUCUGAAAAUAAGAACUAGAGAAGUCAUCACGUUGCUG
rnacentral:sRNA from 1 species